UACGGAGGGUGCGAGCGUUGUCCGGAAUCACUGGGCGUAAAGGGCGCGUAGGCGGCCUGGCAAGUCGGUGGUGAAAGCCCGAGGCUCAACUUCGGGUCGGCCACUGAUACUGCUGGGCUUGAGUCGACUAGAGGCAGAUGGAAUUCCGGGUGUAGCGGUGGAAUGCGUAGAGAUCCGGAAGAACACCGGUGGCGAAGGCGGUCUGCUGGGGUCGAACUGACGCUGAGGCGCGACAGCGUGGGGAGCAAACAGG
rnacentral:rRNA from 1 species